UAGUGGCGAACGGGUGAGUAACACGUGGGCAAUCUGCCCUUCACUCUGGGACAAGCCCUGGAAACGGGGUCUAAUACCGGAUAACACUCUGUCCUGCAUGGGACGGGGUUAAAAGCUCCGGCGGUGAAGGAUGAGCCCGCGGCCUAUCAGCUUGUUGGUGGGGUAAUGGCCUACCAAGGCGACGACGGGUAGCCGGCCUGAGAGGGCGACCGGCCACACUGGGACUGAGACACGGCCCAGACUCCUACGGGAGGCAGCAGUGGGGAAUAUUGCACAAUGGGCGAAAGCCUGAUGCAGCGACGCCGCGUGAGGGAUGACGGCCUUCGGGUUGUAAACCUCUUUCAGCAGGGAAGAAGCGAAAGUGACGGUACCUGCAGAAGAAGCGCCGGCUAACUACGUGCCAGCAGCCGCGGUAAUACGUAGGGCGCAAGCGUUGUCCGGAAUUAUUGGGCGUAAAGAGCUCGUAGGCGGCUUGUCACGUCGGAUGUGAAAGCCCGGGGCUUAACCCCGGGUCUGCAUUCGAUACGGGCUAGCUAGAGUGUGGUAGGGGAGAUCGGAAUUCCU
rnacentral:rRNA from 1 species